ACCCCGCCCCUCCCUUGCUUAGUCGCUCGGCUGGCCCGGCUCACCUUCGGGGUGAAGGCUACCAGCGAGCGUUAUAGCAGACGACUUUAAUAAAUGCAGGCGGCAGCAGGAACUCUGGGAACUUGGGUGCCCUUGCCUGGCAGUAAGGGUUGAAUUAUCCGGAUCUGAAAUACUUUACAGAGCCGAGGGGUGAUAGGCUCUGCAAAAGCACUUUUUGCCCCUCUCCUUUAUGCCAAUACUCGCUGACUGUGCACACAAGUCAUAUUCAGUAUUAAAUACAAACCGGUCUGUAAUUCAAUGGCUCUAGCAAGACGCCUCUGAGAGGGCCAGGUGGCGGGUGCAAGUUGCUCAUUAACCCUUUAGAGUCGCAGUUUGCAGAUCUGAGUUAGAUCCCCGGCUUUGAGGUCCUUCAGUUGCCCUCCUCCCCCACCUCCCCCCGCCACUGCGAGAAAAAUGUGCAAAGAGAAGGAAAUUUGCACAUCAAACGAGGGGCAAUCGCGGCGGUAGAUGAACUUGAUUAGGCAGACGCGUGAGAUCAAAGUGGCCGGGACCAAAGCGGACAGGGUCCAACGUGCCAGCACUGCCAAGAGAAGGCCUUUUGUACUCAGGUUAAAUAAGAACAUCCUGCAAGGAGUCUGUUCUUUUAUGCAGCCUAAAGAUCAAGUAAUAAUCAUUGACACUGAUACUGAGCAUGUCGAUUUUGAAGAGACUAGCAUGAACCUUGAAGAAUCAUGUUCUUCCUAGGAAUUACAAAUCCCCCGAUUCCAUGUCUAACAUAAUUUCUACUGGCCUCUUUGCUUCUCAUGCUUUAGUACCAGUGCUUCUGAAUUUGAAAGUCUUCAUGCAAAUUGCCCAGGUUUGCUGGCAGCUGUGUCUCAGAAAAAGCUGUCUUCAGCAAGGCAGAAGCAGAAUGAAGGAGCUGGACUUGGAGAUCUCUCUCACCUCUGAAGUUGUGUAAGUGAAGUAUACUGACCCAGUGUGACCACGCUGCUAUUCGAAGACUUACUCAAAGUUUUCAAACAGACUAACCAUGUGGGACUGUGAUUUAGCAAGGAAAACAGCCAGAAUAAACAUGUCAGUGUCUCCGUUUUAUGGUGGCUUCAUGUGCAGCAUUGUGACCUAUACCUCGGAGUUUUUCUUAUACCAGAUGAAGCUUGUUCUAUAGUCUUCACAAGGACAUAACACUUGUCAUAAGUAAAUGUUUCUAUUCUCUUGAUAUCAUUCCGAUUAUAUCAAAACGUGCUUUGAAACAACAAGCAGUAGAAUCACUUGGUAUAAUCUUGUCCUCAGUUGACAUGUUUACUUAUUUUUAUCCAGCCUAUGUUUGAAGUCCAACAUGAGCUCAUUUCUCAUGCUGGGGUGGAAUGUAUGAAGGGAUCCAAUUCUUUUGCAUCUUUAGAGAUUAUCUCAUGAAGCAAGGUUCAAUUUAGAACUCUGAGAUCUAACACUGAUUACUUAACUUUACGAGGAAAUACACAAAAAAAUCUGAAUGUCCAGACAAAAGCUGGAAAAAAAAACUUAUCUGUAUCUGCUUCAUCCUUUAUAAAAUGGAAACCUACAAGUGUUUUCCUAAUAAAAUUGUAGUGAACCUGCACAAAGUGAGCAUCUCCAUCACAUUUGCUAUUACUAUUGUGGCUACUAUUAUUAUUAUUGCCUAAAGUAUUGUCUAAGAUGAACACAGAUUUAGAGAUACUGCUACACUAAAUAGCACUUUCUACUAUUUAGUUAAUGUCUAUAUCAUAAUUAGUAUACAAUCAUAGUAGAUUUAUUCAGCAUGACACUAUCAUAAUAACUUAUUUCAAAGAGGUUUUGAAAUAUGGAUUUUAUAAUAUAAAAUAUUUUGAGAAUCCUUCACCCAGGGAAGUUUUAUUUAUAUAAUUAUUAUCUACUUCUAAUAGAUCCUAUCUGCCCACAAAUCCCCAAUAAUACCAGCUCUACUUCUGCUGCAGUAUAAUGCUGCAUUAGCAAGUUCACCUCUAAUUUACUAGCUAACACACACCCUGGAGUCUCCUUAGAUAAUUCCCAAACCUCCUGCUUUCAUCUAACCAAAAUGAGUAUCUUUCGUUGUUGGUAAAUAUAUGAGUUUCAGACGACUACGGUGCAAGCUGGUGAGCCUUGCUUUUCUAAUUUAUGUUUUAAUUAAUUUCCUUUCCAACUUGCUCCAUUUUGUGCAUUCUUUUCCUCUCAUGUGUUUGCAAUACUUCCCAGGGAAUAACACCUACAUUUUGAAUUAUAGAUUUCUUGAAUGCAUCUUUUAGGUAAUUAAGGUGUUAACAAAGACAAGACUCAAGUAUGAUCCUUAAAGAAUUUCUUGGCCUGGCGCGGUGGCUCACGCCUGUAAUCCCAGGACUUUGGGAGGCUGAGGAGGGCGGAUCAUGAGGUCAGGAGAUCGAGACCAUCCUGGCUAACAUGGUGAAACCCCGUCUCUACUAAAAAAUACCAAAAAAAAUUAGCCAGGCGUGGUGGCGGGUGCCUGUAGUCCCAGCUACUCGGGGGGCUGAGGUGGGAGAAUGGCAUGAACCCAGGAGGCGGAGCUUGCAGUGAGCCGAGAUCGUGCCACUGCACUCCAACCUGGGCAACAGAGCGAGACUCCAUCUCAGGAAAAAAAAACAAAAAACAAAAAACAUUUUUUUGCAUGUUUAAUCAACCAUUAC
rnacentral:lncRNA from 1 species